GUGGUUCUUAACCUGGAGUCCUCAAACGGGGGGCCCGGCCGAUCCACUGGGGGCCCCGGCCCGGCCGAUCCACUGGGGGGAGGGGUACCCCAGUGGGAUCAGUCACACACUUCAAAGUGUACACUAUAUUAACGUUAGGGACCAGUCACACACUUCAAAGUGUACAGUAUUUUAAUGAUCGGAUAAAUCAGGCGUACAUCAAGUAUACAACAGAAUACUAACAGAUCUAGAAUCAGAGAGAAGACAUGAUCAGUUUCUACAUUACCCCCCCAGACGGAUCACAUCGACAUGAUCCGUUUCUACAUUACCCCCCCAGAGGGAUCACAUCAACAUGAUCAGUUUCUACAUUACCCCCCCAGACGGAUCACAUUGACAUGAUCAGUUUUCAGGCAUGUUUCACGGUUAGUAAAGAGAGAAAGAGAGAACAGGGGCACGGGAGAGAAAACAGGGGCGCGGGAGAGAAAACAGGGGCGCGGGAGAGAAAACAGGGGCGCGGGAGAGAAAACAGGGGCGCGGGAGAGAAAACAGGGGCGCGGGAGAGAAAACAGGGGCGCGGGAGAGAAAACAGGGGCGCGGGAGAGAAAACAGGGGCGCGGGAGAGAAAACAGGGGCACGGGAGAGAAAACAGGGGCGUGGGAGAGAGAACAGGGGCGCGGGAGAGAGAACAGGGGCUCGGGAGAGAGAACAGGGGCGCGGGAGAGAGAACAGGGGCACGGGAGAGAGAACAGGGGCACGGGAGAGAGAACAGGGGCACGGGAGAGAGAACAGGGGCACGGGAGAGAGAACAGGGGCACGGGAGAGAGAACAGGGGCACGGUAGGCAUCUCUCUCAUUUCACACCGUCUCCUUAACGACGGACAUGUUUCAGUACGAUACAGUUAAUUUCAAACCGUUGACAGAAGCGCUGCGUCGUGGUCCUGAACACAGCCUACCAUCAUCAUCAUCAUCCUCAUCAUCAUCAUGGCACUAAAACCAGAGCAGCAGAGUCGUGGUCCUGAACAGAGCCGAGUCGUAGCAAGCAAAGCCCAGGGAUCACCGUCCGUUCUUAAAAACACUGACGUCGCCUUUUCGCGACGUAAACAAGAGUUUCUAUUUGACAACACUUCAGGCAGGUCCCGUUCCAGAUGCUUCCGGUUGGUUCCUAGUGAAUCCAUCCUUGUUCCACUGCGGUCCAGUCCUCCACCGGGUCAGUAACGGUCCAGUCCCCCGGGGUCGGUAACGGUCCAGUCCCCCCGGGUCGGUAACGGUCCAGUCCCCCGGGUCGGUAACGGUCCAGUCAAUAACGGUCCAGUCAGUAACGGUCCAGUCCUCCACCGGGUCAGUAACGGUCCAGUCAAUAACGGUCCAGUCCUCCACCGGGUCGGUAACGGUCCAGUCAAUAACGGUCCAGUCCCCCCCGGGGUCGGUAACGGUCCAGUCCCCCCCGGGGUCGGUAACGGUCCAGUCAGUAACGGUCCAGUCAGUAACGGUCCAGUCCCCCCCGGGUCAGUAACGGUGCAGUCCCCCCAGGUCAGUAACGGUCCAGUCUCCCCCGGGUCAGUAACGGUCCAGUCCUCCACCGGGUCAGUAACGGUCCAGUCAAUAACGGUCCAGUCCUCCACCGGGUCGGUAACGGUCCAGUCAAUAACGGUCCAGUCCCCCCCGGGGUCGGUAACGGUCCAGUCCCCCCCGGGGUCGGUAACGGUCCAGUCAGUAACGGUCCAGUCAGUAACGGUCCAGUCCCCCCCGGGUCAGUAACGGUCCAGUCUCCCCCGGGUCAGUAACGGUCCAGUCUCCCCCGGGUCAGUAACGGGUCAGUAAUGGCACUUCUCAGGGUUGGUCCAACAGCCUGGGUCUGAAUCUUAACAGCUGUUAGCCUGCUGAACUGAAGCCAAGGCAUUAACUUGGGGGAGCUAACAAGUCUUCAGUAAACAGUCCUGGAAUUAUCCCAAAGCAGGAGAGGGGCUGGUGUAGUCAGUGGGCAGAGCUAAGGUACGGCAGCUCCACCCAUAAUGCACUGGGCUAAGGUCACAGAGGUCGUGACCACUUCUGACCCUGCCCACAUCAGGGGUUAAAGUUCAUAUAGCAGAGAUAUUAAAAAAAAAAAACAGUCAUGAUCCUGAAGGAUGAUGAAACACAAUCAGUGUGUGUGUGUGUGUGUGUGUGUGUGUGUGUGUGGUGGGGGUCAGAGUUCAUAUGGUCCGUUUGACACAGGGUCGUCCACUGAGGUGGGAACAUAUGGCUGCUCAACCAAUCAGCAUCCUCUAACAUGUCCACACCUAGACACAGAAAGAGAGAGAGAGGAGGAGAGACAAGCGAGACACAAGAAAGAGAGAGCGAAAGACAGAGAGAGAGAGAAAACACAGUGAGGGAUAUUGGAAUGGAUUGCCUGACUGACUAACCCUUCCACUACAAUUUUCACGGCCCCAAAAAUCCAGAGUGGCGUCGCAGUGUCAGAGGCGUCACUACAGACCCUGGUUCGAUCCCGGGCUCUAUCACAACCGGCCGUGAUAGGGCGGCGCACAAUUGGCCCAGCGUCGUCCGGGUUGGGGGGGGAGGGGCACCUGCAGGCUGACCAGUUAAACGGUGUUUCCGCCGACACAGCAACCUUCCCACUAGCCAUGAUUGGCUGAGAUAAUGAGUGGGCUGGACAUGCCGAGAGAGUAGUAGUUCGGAUUGGUCCUGCCAUAUAGAAGGCUUCUCUAUCUAUUCGAGCUCGUCAGUCUGUCUUGGUAAUGUAGUAGAGCUGCGUAAGUGUUGCUCUCCACUUUCUGGAGGAUCAAGUUUUGAAAAAUCUGUGGAAAUUAGAGUCUGAUAGCUAAGGAGAUGGAGGAAACACCUGUCUCCGGGAUUACAUCUUCAAAACUAAGGGCAACCGUGGCGUGGCAUCCGUGACAGGGAGAGGCGUCCAUCAUGGAUCAUGGAUGUAUACGGGUAAGAUAGCUUGUUACAUUUUCAGAUAUUACACGUUUUCUAAUUUUGACAGAAUGGGGUUUUCAUUUCAAGCUAAAGUGCACCGUUAGCUAGCUAGCUACGGGUCUGAAGCUAAAGUGCACUGUUAGCUAGCUAGCUAACGUUAGCCGGCUGGCUCAUUAGCUAACGUUAGCCGGCUGGCUCAUUAGCUAACGUUAGCCGGCUGGCUCAUUAGC
rnacentral:lncRNA from 1 species